rnacentral:rRNA from 1 species
GCACAACGCGAAGAACCUUACCCACCUUUGACAUGUACGGAAGACUGCAGAGAUGCGGUUGUGCUCGAAAGAGAGCCGUAACACAGGUGCUGCAUGGCUGUCGUCAGCUCGUGUCGUGAGAUGUUGGGUUAAGUCCCGCAACGAGCGCAACCCUUGCCAUUAGUUGCUACGAAAGGGCACUCUAAUGGGACUGCCGGUGACAAACCGGAGGAAGGUGGGGAUGACGUCAAGUCCUCAUGGCCCUUAUAGGUGGGGCUAGAAACGUCAUACAAUGGCCGGUACAAAGGGUCGCGAAGCCGCGAGGUGGAGCCAAUCCCAUAAAGCCGGUCGUAGUCCGGAUCGCAGUCUGCAACUCGACUGCGUGAAGUCGGAAUCGCUAGUAAUCGUGGAUCAGCAUGUCACGGUGAAUACGUUCCCGGGUCUUGUACACACCG